CAGAGCCUUGCAUUCAUUUGUCCUUGCCUUGUGUGUACUGAUUGCCAGCUCUUAAUCAUCCUCAGACCUACAGGAUAUGCAUACAGCAGAAUGUUUGUUCCCUGAAAACAAAAUUUAAACAAGGUUGAUCUGAUAGUGGGGGUUACUUCUGAAGAGUGAAGGGGAAAAGUGAGGAAAGUAUGAUUUAAUCCCUACUUGCAGAUGAGGAACUGGCACUGGUUGGGAAGGAGUUGAAGAUGUGAGUAAACAUCAAAGUCCUGAGAUUGUGUCAUCCAUAGCUCCGCAGCUAUAACAUAGAGAUGUGAUUCUGUGUAUCAGCAUUCAAGUCAAGGACCUAUGCUCCUUCUGUAUCUGUGUUCUUCUACUUUGAUGGAAUUGGCUUCAUCCAUGUGGUCCAGGAUGACUCAUCAUUAUACACAUAUUCUACUCCGUCAGAGGGCUGAAGGGGAUAGGCAGCUAUGUGCUUUCAAGAAACGUGAUUCCAUUCCCACCUCCUUAUCAUGAUUGGUCUAAAGCUUAGAGCAAUCUGUGCACAGCCUUUCCCAGGCAACUGUAAUUGGUUUGGGAUGUAUACUUAACCCAAAAUCUGAUUGGUUAGGGGAUAGGGUUUCUUUUCUUCUGGACACAUAGGAGAACAUUUGUAGCCCAAUGACCAUGGACAGCCAUCUUCCAGCAAAGAGAAAAACAAAGGGAUAUAGCUACUCCUGAAGACGGCAAAGCAGAAGGAUGCAAAGAAUCUAAACAUUCGAUGAUAUCAUUGAGCCACAUCAGCCAAACUUGGAUCCUGCCCUACCUCUGGACUCUUUGUUGUAUGAGAAAGGAAAUGUUAUCAAUUAAGCCAUUUCUGGUCAUGAUUUCUAUUAUUGUAGCCAAAAGCAUCUUAACCUUCAUCUGGAUGUAAUUUUAAAAGAUUAAAUGCCUUAAAGUCACGUAAACUAAAUGGUUAUCUCCUCAAAAUUUCCUCAGCCUUGUUGAAUCUUGGCCUUAGUUCCCUCUUUCCAAUAUUUGUUCUAGAACUCUGCAUUCAAAUAUCACUGAGAUGCACAUACUGGUGCUACCACUCAGCUCACAGACCUUCCAGGAGAGCGAGGGAGAAUUAAUAUGAGAAAUCCUCCUCCUUCCCAAGGCUUGGAAGGGAGUCAGAUUGAUUUUAACUUAUCCAGUAUAGCAAGCAAGUUGUUAGGGCUUUUUUAAAAUUAUUGUUCUAAAGCAACAUAUGUGUCUGAAAUAGCUCUAGAUGCAAUUCCCAAGUGAUAGGACUGUAUGAUUUGAAAGAGGAAGAAAAGUUAAGUUGUCAUCUGGUGUGUGAAUAUUUUAUUGUCAUUGGAAAAAAGUUAUAAGUCCAUUCAUCACAUUUGGUUCGCUAUUCUAUAUCCUUUUCUUAUUCUUCAGAAGAAAAUAGAAUAGUUUUUGGAGCUACAACAGAGGCACAUCUGUUAGUUCCCGAAAGUUUUAUAAAACAGCAGCAGGAAAGAAUCAUUUCUAAAUUAUCUCACAACUGACAGAAAGUUAUCAUUCAUUUCUCUUCAAGAAGGUGGUUUUUCAGAUAUAGAAAUUCAAAGGCUUUUUAAAAAAUGGUAAUACAGAAGAGACAAAUUGACACUUUGCUGAUGAUUUUUUGUCUUUCCUGUCACUGUUGACAACAUAAGUCACUGUUAAGGUGGUUUCCAAAAACACCUAAAGAACAACUGUGAAAAUUACAAACUAAUCAGACGACUUAAAACGUAGGAAAGAGAAAGUUUAAGUGAUCCUUCUAGUUGGGGAAUAUGGACCAAAGGUAGAAUAUUUCACAGUCAGAUUUAGUGUACAAACUAUCAAGGAAACAUAUAUUUUGAAUUAUUUGCAUGUCUGCAUUAAAAGUUUAAAAUAUCUUAAAGCCUUUAAGCUGAAAUGAUAAAGAUACAUUAGGAAACUAUGGCUUGUGGAAACGCUACUUCUCCCUCUUCACAGCAAGAAGACUCUGCAAUAAGAUUAGGCUGUCCCCAUCUCCCUGUAAAUUAAACUCCCCCUAAUCACUCUCUAUCCAAUUAACUUUUUAUUUUCUUUAGAGCACUUAUCAUUCUCUGCAAUGUUCUUAUCUGCCUGUUGUCUAAUUCCACUAGAAUGUAAACUCCACAAAAGCAGCAACCUCAUCUAGUGUAUUUGCUCCUGUGCUCCCAGCAAGGCAUUUAGAACAUCUAAUGCUUUUUAGGGGCUCGGUGAAUAUUUGUUGCAUAUGUAAAUGGACGAAUAAAUAAAUCUCGGUGAAAAUAUGUUUCAAUUUUCAGGGGAAAAGAAAAGACUCUGUACACUAUAUUCUAAUUAAUUCAAUUAAUUAGGAAAAUUUUCCCCAAGAAGUAUUAAUAACGUGACACUGCUAACAGAUAGGCAUGGACAUUUAGAGGCUGGUUAUUCAAAAAGAGUGCUAAAUGUGCACACGUUCCUUUUUAAUACAAAAAUAUUCAUGGCAUGAUUCGGAUUAUUUGAAACCUUUCUAAACUUAAAUUUAAAUCUUCCCAAGUUGAAAGGCGUUUUCUUACUAAAAAGGACAAAUGCCAUCUAGAAAAUACUUGCGAUCAUAGAUUUUUGACCCAGCCUGAGACCCGGGGCAGUAAUCACCAAAAGCAAUUCUUCUAAUUGCCCUAACUACCUAACUGCUCUCUCACAUGUAGCCCAAAUCUGAAGAUUCUGUAGCCCAAAUCUCUUGCUAAACACAGACUAUAUUAGUUUGUUCAGAUUGCUAUAACACCAUAAGCUGGCUAGCUUACAAACAACAAACAUUUAUUGCUCACGGUUCUGGAGGCUUGGCAAGAGCCCACUUCCUAGAUGGCUGCCCUUCUGCUAUAAACUCAUAGGGUGGAAAGGGUGAGAGAUCUCUCUGUGGCCUCCCUGAUGGGAUAAAGGUACUGAUCCCAUUUAUGAGGGCUCUGCUCUCUGACAUAACCACCUCUCAAAGACUCCCAUCUCCUAAUACCAUCACCCUGGUGGUGAGGAUUUCAACGUAUGCAUUUUGGGGAAACACAAACAUUCAGACUAUAGCACAAAUAGACAAAAAUAGCAGAGCUAAGAAUUGAAAUUUCAGGUGUCUAACUCGAAAGCCUGUUUUUUUUCUAUCUAUGAUGUUUUCCAGUGAUCAGAGAUUUGAUGACAUGUCAGACAUGAAAAUGAGAGAGAGAGAAAGAAAAGUUUAGAAUCUUUCGGGAAAAAGAAACCCGGCAUUUACAAAGUACCUGUUUCUCAUGAUCUUAAAAUUUUUGUGGUUAAUCAAAAAGUGAAGGUCCCAUUAAUAACGAACUAGAUGCGACCAGACAGAAGUCAGUAUCAGACAAUACAUACAAACAGCAUGCCUGACAUUCCAUCCAGGGAGGACCAUUUCCAACAUCAUCACCAUCAGACAGUUCUUACUGAAGAAGCUACUGGGUGACAAAGAGGUGUUGUAGUAAGGCAUUAACCCAAGGAUUUGAAACGGUAAAUUUCACACUCAAAAGAUCUCGUUUCUUGAGUUAACCACAAUUAACUGGAAAGCUCAAAUGUGAUGACACUAUGUUAAUGUGAAACAAUUAAGAAUGGAUCUUUGUCGAGGAAACCUCCUUCUCCCCAUUUCCACGCAUUGGAAGCCAAAUGCGCGGUUAGUAUGUAUUUGUUCAAAGCGUAUAAAGUGGCAAAAACGCUGAAGAAGUAACUGCAUAUAUUGAAAUUAAAUGGCAAAUACUUGCUCUUUCACCUUGAACAUUUACAGUAAUAUUUUGUUUCCUUUGUGAGAGUCUUACUGCAUGUAAUAUAAAUGAAAAUAAAAAUGUCUUGAAAUACAAGAGAAUCUCAUAAGGUCAUAUGUAACAUUUGUGAAAAGCUUUGAAAUGUGGUCUUUAAAAAAAUGUAAGUUUUAAAACAUUGUACCUAUCAACAUUUAUUUCAAAUCUAUUCCAACACAGACCAACAGCUGGUAUAAUUACAGCUUCAUUUUUCUCAAUGCAGAUGAAAAAAAAGAAAAAAAAAAAGAA